CAGAGCUCUGACUUGGGAAAUUAUAUUUUCUUUUGCAUUUCCAAGUGAAUUGUGAAAAACUGGAUUUGUAUAAUAGUAAGUAUACAUCCAUGUGCACUACAUUAAAUUUGAAAAUUAGGCCCCAUUCAUGAUCGUUACUUGGAAGUUAAUUGUGGUAACUUGCUCUUCCAGAACAAAAGCAUGAAGCCUACUGGAGCAAUCUGCUAACCAGAUGAUCACCUGGGUGAUCCGGCUGUUCCAGAACCUUAGGAGAACUACUCAUACUAUACAAUCUCGCUUUACACGUGAAAUGAUAGCCUUUGGAUAUUCAUGGUAUAUUGUAGACUGAAACUUCAGAUAUAUCAACAGGUGCACUUAAACUAACUCCAUGGGACGUAGCAAAAAUGAACAAGGUUGAAGUUGAAUUCUUUGAACACUUGUAUGAGGACAAUUCCCACGGAGACAGUUGUAAAUCCACAGGCCAUGCCCAAGAAGUCCACCAGGCCCACAUUGCUCCACUCCCGGAAGAGGAUGGCUGAAGCCAGUAGGACCAGCGUGGUAAACACAACGUAGUAGAUGGCCCCAAAUACAGAGGAGUCGAAGCACUCCAGGGCCUUGUUGAUGUACCUGAAUUGGACAAUGAUGCUGCAGCCCAGGACAGCCAGGAGCACCAGGCACAGGCAGAGGGCUCUCUGACUGGAUGGAUUGUUGUGCAAGAUGUCUUGGGCUGCCAGCCCAAUGCCCUUGGUGGAAGGCACAGUGAAACUCCCCAGCAAGGAGCAGAUGCUGAUGUAGACCAUGAUGUUGGUGGGCCCGUGGGCUGGUGCGAUCCAGAAGAUCAACAGCAGCAGCAUGAGCAGCACGAUGCACAGGUAGCCCACAAACACUGCAAGACAGAUGGCACACAGUGACCAGGGAGGCCAUCCCCCCAAACACCAUCAAGAGGUCAGAGCUGAACCAGGGCCCGAUCCCUUUCCAGCCACCCCUUCAACCAGGGGGAGAGAGACCUAAGGGAGGACAGGUAACCAACCACUCAAUAGCUCUAACUUAAGUUUAUUAACACUCACUAAGUCCAUUCCACAAAAAAAGAUGAGACGGUUAUGUAGCUUAGUGGUAGAGCACUUGCCCAACAUACUCAAGGCCCUGGGUUUGAUCCCAAGCGUGGUAAAACAGAAAAUGUAUAGCUCCAAGCUACUGCAGCCACAAGGGUAAUGUUAGGCCAGAAGAACUGUUGCCUUCCCAGGAAUGUCCAUGCCUAGGAAUCUUUGCCUUGAGUUCUUUACCAUUAAAGACCUCAUUAUAAUUCUGCCUCUGGUUGGAUACAACCCUAACCAGGCUACAACUACCCAAUGCCCCUCCAAAUGGAAGGAAACAUGCUCUAAUGAAAAAAAAAAAAUCCAUCCCCAGGACUCCCAGGACCAAGCCUGGAGUAGCUGAAGAAACUGUGACCACCUCCAUCGACAGGAAGCCCUUCAUAGCUCCCAACAGAGCUGUGAAAUGCUGCCCUAAAGUGUCAUAACUACUAAUAUUUAUAUGACCUACUCCAUUAGUAUCAUUAAAAACAACAACAAAAACAGGUUUACAAACCUGAGAUCAAACAGACAAACAAAAUCCAACAACAACAACAACAACAAAACAAAGUGGCAGUUGGAGAGAUGGCUAAGAGGUUAAGAGCACUGGCCAGUGGCACUUCCAGAGGUUCUGAGCUUAACGCCCAGCAACCACAUGGUGGCUCACAACCAUCUGUAAUGGGCUCAAUCUGAUUC
rnacentral:lncRNA from 1 species